GAUGAACGCUGGCGGCGUGCCUAAUACAUGCAAGUCGAGCGAACGGACGAGAAGCUUGCUUCUCUGAUGUUAGCGGCGGACGGGUGAGUAACACGUGGAUAACCUACCUAUAAGACUGGGAUAACUUCGGGAAACCGGAGCUAAUACCGGAUAAUAUUUUGAACCGCAUGGUUCAAAAGUGAAAGACGGUCUUUCUGUCACUUAUAGAUGGAUCCGCGCUGCAUUAGCUAGUUGGUAAGGUAACGGCUUACCAAGGCAACGAUGCAUAGCCGACCUGAGAGGGUGAUCGGCCACCCUGGAGCUGAGACACGGUCCAGACUCCUACGGGAGGCAGCAGUAGGGAAUGUUCCGCAAUGGGCGGAAGCCUGACGGAGCAACGCCGCGUGAGUGAUGAAGGUCUUCGGAUCGUAAAACUCUGUUAUUAGGGAAGAACAUAUGUGUAAGUAACUGUGCACAUCUUGACGGUACCUAAUCAGAAAGCCACGGCUAACUACGUG
rnacentral:rRNA from 1 species